rnacentral:misc_RNA from 1 species
CUCCUUCUAAGGAAGAACUCUAAUGGAAACGCUCACUCGUUGAGCCUCUGCCUUUCAGUUCUCUUGGAACAAGACGGAAGAGAGUCACUCUUACCGUCGUGCAUACCUUAAGCGGGUCUGCCGCCUUCGUUUCUCUUUCUUCGCGAAUGACUAACCUCCCUUUGGCUAUGCCCACAAGGCGUGCCUUGCCGGUGCAAAUGGUGCCAGCAGGGUUCGGUUUAGGGCUUGUAGCUCAGUUGGUUAGAGCGCGCGCUUGAUAAGCGUGAGGUCGGAGGUUCAAGUCCUCCCAGGCCCACCACUUCGCAAUCCGUAAGGAUUGUCGUUUGUUCCUCGACAAAAGGUAUCAGGGGCCGUAGCUCAGCUGGGAGAGCGCCUGCUUUGCAAGCAGGAUGUCGUCGGUUCGAUCCCGUCCGGCUCCACCAUUACCGCGCAAUCCGCAGGAUUGUCGCCUUGGUGUCGAGUAGAGAUGAGCGCCGAUCGGUCAGUCAUUCGUAUAAAGGUUUGCGGCGAGCAUCUAGCUCUCCGCCUGUUCUGUAUGACAUCGUAAAGAGAAGAUUUGUUCGAACUUCAUGAUCCGCAAGGUUCAUGAUUUGUCGCGGGAGACGCUCAAUCUCCCGCAUAUGAUGGGUUUGCCUAACCGCGCCCUCGAACCGAUCUCGAGAAGCUGGUCUUUUUGUGCCAAUUCCAUUGAAUCCAGGUUCUGCACAGGAUCUGGUUCGGGCGACAAUCCUUCGGGAUUGCGCGAUGGGCAUUGGCAAUGAGAACGAUCAAGUGUCUUAAGGGCAAUUGGUGGAUGCCUUGGCAUGCACAGGCGAUGAAGGACGUGAUACGCUGCGAUAAGCUACGGGGAGGUGCGAAUACCCUUUGAUCCGUAGAUUUCCGAUG